CCCAUCCAACGCCGGCCGGACCCGGGCGCCGCGUCCGCUCAGGGUGGGACAGAACCCUAAGUUGGCCACCUCUACGCUGCGCCGCCUCUCACCCGGGAGGGGCACGGGGGAAGGGGCCGUGGGCCUCUCGGUUAACGAGCUUCGGGGGUUGCGGCGGGUUAGUGACAGGCGCGCUUGGCAAUCGCCUGUGCCGCUUUGCUUGGGAGCACUCGAACUGGCGCCCGGAAGACGUGAUUUUCAAAGCUAAUUAUGAAAACAUUUGUCAUUGGAAUCGGUGGUGUGACAAAUGGUGGGAAGACAACACUGGCUAAGAAUUUGCAGAAACGCCUUCCAAACUGCAGUAUCAUAUCUCAGGAUAAUUUCUUUAAGCCAGAGUCUGAGAUAGAGACAGAUGAAAAUGGAUUUCUUCAGUAUGAUGUGCUUGAAGCACUUAACAUGGAGGAAAUGAUGUCCGCCAUUUCCUGCUGGAUGGAAAGCGCAGCACACCCUCUGGCAUCAACAGACAGGGGAAACACUGAGGAAAUUCCCAUCUUAAUUAUCGAAGGUUUCCUUCUCUAUAAUUAUAAGCCCCUUGACACUAUAUGGAACAGAAGCUAUUUUCUGACCAUUCCGUAUGAAGAAUGUAAGAGGAGGAGGAGUACAAGGAUCUACGAGCCUCCAGACACCCCAGGGUACUUUGAGGGCCACGUGUGGCCCAUGUAUCUAAAGCACAGAAAAGAAAUGGAGAACAUCUCAUGGGAAAUCGUUUACCUAGAUGGAACAAAAUCUGAAGAGGACCUCUUUUCACAAGUGUAUGAAGACCUAAUACAAGAACUAGCAAAGCAAAAGUGUCUGCAAGUGACAGCGUAAAAGUUGGAAUGCACUGAAUCCUUCCUGGAGUGAAUUAGGAAAUUCAAAGGAAUCUAUGCAAGAACCUUAACCAAGAUACAAUGUGUACUUCGGAAGUGCAAGAUACAGCACAGCUCACAAAGAGUGAGUCAGUUUCUCUCGACCAGUGAUUGUCAAACUCUUCUGAAUGGGACCCAGACAACUUGAAAGUGUUAUGGAAAAGCCAGGGUCUUUCAUCCUCGGCUGCGGAGCUACCCCAGGAGGUCACAGGAAGGCAGCAGAAGCUCCCCGCACAGUGUCAACUAUAAAGGCAGGAAGCUGGGUAGAGGACGCACAGCCAGCCGCAGGCCUUCCCAGAGUCACCCAGCAGUGACCCCAACAGCCAGAACUGCCUCCAUGGCCACUUCUCACUGCAAGAGAGGCUGGGAAGAGGCAUUCCGAGAGGUUUGAGCUCAUUGUGUUUCAUCGUCUGGGGAUGUUGCCACAGAGAAGAAAAAGCUUUUACUAAGGAAGGUGGAGAAAAUAGAUCUAUCAUCUGUAAGUCUGAAAGUUAUAUUGGAGGACUUUCUUAAAACUUCAAAGUGACCAUGAUGAAAAAAUCCAGCAGGAAAAUAAUUUCCAACAAUGACGAUGCUUCUGUAAAAAUGUCAACAAAAUAAGAGGCUGACAGAGGAGACCUGGAAUCUGUAGCAACUCAACUCAAGACUCCAUGUUCAACACACUUCUUGAACUUUCUUUUCCCAAUCCUCCUGACACCAGCCUACAAACCUAACAUUGUUCUUAAGAUCAAAUAAGAUGUUAUGAAAUCAUCCGAGAAACUCUAAAGGGAUCUGCAAAUGUUAAAGGCUUAUUAAGAUAGAUCUAAGUCUAUUACCACAGUUAGAGGAUGGUCCUCAGCCUUUGCGACAAUAGACAUCUCACCUGUGAUGAUCCCCCUCCUCCUACUCAAAGACACCUUCAUCCGAGCCAUUAAAUCGUAUCAAGCUGCUUCAGCCUUGUUCUCUCGGAUUGCUUGAUCGGGGAAAACCAGCCAAUAAAUUGUGAGACGACUCAAGCAGCCCUGUGCAAAAAACCUGUGUGGCAAAAUGGUUUGCCAGCCAUGUAACGGAGCCACAUGGAUCCUCCAACCCCAGUCAAGCCUUUGGAUGACUGAAGCCCAGUUGACAUCUUGAUUUCAACUUUGUGAAAGACCCUGAGGCAGAACCCCCAGCCAGGCCACCCCCCAAAUCCUGAUCAACAGAAACUGAACAAGAGCACAGGCUCCGGACGCACAGGCUCAGCGGCCAUGGUUCACGGGCCCAGCUGCUCCGUGGCAUGUGGGAUCUUCCCAGACCGGGGCACGAACCCGUGUCCCCUGCAUCGGCAGGCGGACUCUCAACCACUGUGCCACCAGGGAAGCCCAUGUCUUCAUUUCUUUAAGGAAUAUAACAAGACUUACUUCACAGAGUUGAGCAAGCAAAGCCCUAUAAGGGAUGGCUUCAUCUAGUCCUCAGACUCGGAUCCAUCUUCAUCUUGACUAAUCUGGAAGUAACGAAGUUCG